AUGCACUUAUUGACAGCCAUGAAGCAUCAACAGUGGCUCUCUGGUUUACUUAAAGUGCAAGAUUAAUUUCCUCGCGCUUUCUGCUUGCUCUCCCAAUGGCAGGUCGGAUUGAAUCGAGGAAAACAGAG